rnacentral:rRNA from 1 species
AACGAACGCUGGCGGCAUGCCUAACACAUGCAAGUCGAACGAGACCUUCGGGUCUAGUGGCGCACGGGUUCGUAACGCGUGGGAACCUGCCCUUAGGUUCGGCAUAACUCCCCGAAAGGGGUGCUAAUACCGGAUCAUGUCUUCGGACCAAAGAUUUAUCGCCUUUGGAUGGGCCCGCGUUGGAUUCGCUUGUUGGUAGGGUAAAAGCCUACCAAGGCGACGAUCCAUAGCUGGUCUGAGAGGAUGAUCAGCCACACUGGGACUGAGACACGGCCCAGACUCUUACGGGAGGCAGCAGUGGGGAAUAUUGGACAAUGGGCGAAAGCCUGAUCCAGCAAUGCCGCGUGAGUGAUGAAGGCCUUAGGGUUGUAAAGCUCUUUUAACCGGGAUGAUAAUGACAGUACCGGGAGAAUAAGCUCCGGCUAACUCCGUG